UGCAGAAUCCCGUGAACCAUCGAGUCUUUGAACGCAAGUUGCGCCCGAAGCCUUUAGGCCGAGGGCACGCCUGCCUGAGCGUCA
rnacentral:rRNA from 1 species